rnacentral:rRNA from 1 species
GAUGAACGCUGGCGGCGUGCUUAACACAUGCAAGUCGAACGAGAAUCAACGGAUUGAGGAUUCGUCCAAAUGAAGUUGAGGAAAGUGGCGGACGGGUGAGUAACGCGUGAGGAACCUGCCUCGGAGUGGGGAAUAACAGCCGGAAACGGCUGCUAAUACCGCAUAAUGCAUUGGAUUCGCAUGUUUCUGAUGCCAAAGAUUUUAUCGCUGAAAGAUGAGCUCGCGUCUGAUUAGCUAGUUGGCGGGGUAACGGCCCACCAAGGCGACGAUCAGUAGCCGGACUGAGAGGUUGAACGGCCACAUUGGGACUGAGACACGGCCCAG